UUUUUUAAGAGUUUGAUCCUGGCUCAGGAUUAAUGCUAGCGGUGUGCCUAAGAUAUGCAAGUCGAACGAUCCCGGUGCAAAUCGGGGAAGUGGCGGACGGCUGAGUAAUACGUACGAAGUUACCCUUACCUCGUGAAUACCCCCGCGAAAGCGGGGCUAAUACACGAUAUUUCCUGCCCUAAAAAGCGUGGAAAAAGGACAUAACUUUCCGGGUAAGGAGAUGCGUACGGACUAUCAGGUAGUUGGUAGGGUAACGGCCUACCAAGCCUAUGACGGUUAUCCGGCUCGUGAUGAGUGACCGGACAGAGGAGCACUGAGAUACGGGCUCCACACCUACGGGUGGCAGCAAUCGGGAAUAGUUGGCAAUGGGCGAAAGCCUGACCACGCGACACCGCGUGUAGGAAGAAGUUCUUAUUGAGCGUAAACUACUGUGGUAGGGGAUAAAGUCCCGCUUUAGGGCGGGAUUGAUAGUACCUUACUAGAAAGUGACCGCUAAUUGCGUGCCAGCAGCGGCGGUAAUACGUGAGUCACAAGCAUUAUCCGGUGUUACUGGGCGUAAAGUGUGUGUAGGUGUCCUGUUAAGUUUUUGUUCAAAGACCUUGGCUUACCCAAGGACAGGGCGAAAAAACUGGCAGGAUUGAGUUUUCUUUAGGGGAACCGGAAUUUAUGGAGUAGCAGUGAAAUGCGUUGAUACCAUAAAGAACACCAGUGGCGAAGGCGGGUUCCUGAAAGUUAACUGACACUGAGACACGAAAGCUAGGGGAGCGAACCGGAUUAGAGACCCGGGUAGUCCUAGCUGUAAACGAUGCUCGCUAGCUGCAUUUCUUGCUUUAUUGCAUGAGGUGUGGCGAAGUCAACACAUUAAGCGAGCCGCCUGGGAAGUACGGUCGCAAGACUGAAACUCAAAGGAAUUGGCGGGGAGACACCCAACUAGUGGAUCAUGUGGUUUAAUUCGAUACGAACCGAAGAACCUCACCAGGGUUCGACAUGUAAUGGACAGCCUGAUGAAAGUCAGGCCUUUCCGCAAGGAACUGUUACAAAGCUGUUGCAUGGCUGUCGUCAGUUCGUUCCGUGAGGAGUGCCCUUAAGUGGGACAACGAACGCAACCUUUGUCCUGAGUUAUAUAUGUCUCAGGAGACUGGUCCGAUAUAUAUCGGACAGGAAGGAGAAGCAGACGUCAAGUCAGCAUGACGCCUAUGCCCUGGGCUACACACAUGAUACAAUGAGUCGUAACAAUGGGCUGCCAAUCGGUAACGAGGAGCAAAUCCCAUCAAACCGGCUCUCAGUGGGGAUUGAGGUCUGCAACCCGACCUCAUGAACACGGAAUUAGUAGUAAUCGCGGAUCAGCUAUGCCGCGGUGAAUACGUUCUUGUCUCUUGCACACACUGCCCGUCAAGCCAACAAAGUCGGAGGUACCCGAAUUCUAAUGAACUUUGGAAGAGGGUAAAAUCGGCGAUGGGGGCUAAGUCGUAACAAGGUACCCGUUCUGGAAGGAGUGGGUGAAUCACCUCCUUU
rfam:Candidatus Roizmanbacteria bacterium RIFCSPLOWO2_02_FTLL_36_11 rifcsplowo2_02_scaffold_778, whole genome shotgun sequence.